UACGAAGGUCCCAAGCGUUAUCCGGAUUUAUUGGGCUUAAAGGGCGCGUAGGCGGUCUAUUAAGUCAGUGGUGAAAGCCCCAAGCUCAACUUGGGAACUGCCAUUGAUACUGAUGGACUUGAGUACAUUUGAGGUGGGCGGAAUGUGUCAUGUAGCGGUGAAAUGCUUAGAUAUGACACAGAACACCGAUUGCGAAGGCAGCUCACUAAACUGUAACUGACGCUGAGGCACGAAAGCGUGGGGAGCAAACAGG
rnacentral:rRNA from 1 species